rnacentral:lncRNA from 1 species
GAAAAAAGCAGGAGGCAAGAGAAGCAGGAGCCUGGGGGAGCUGACUGCAGUCAUCCGUAAUACAUCUGGCUAUGUCCGGCAGGUCCUCCUGCCCCAGCCAGAGGAGAGGGCACUGGGGACCAGGUGGGCCAAGGCUGAGGCUGAGGGGGCAGACAAGUGCCGUCUGCACCUGAGGGCUCUGACAGAGGAGACUGCAACACCAUUUCCCCUUCAUCAGCUCAAGUCCAGGAAAGGGAAGUCAGCAGUCGUCACACCGUUUCAGGAGAAACUGGCCUGAGCCUCAUCAUCCUCCACCACCACCAGACAGCUGAUGGGAGGCAGGCAGAUGAGGGUUCAUUGCCGCCAGGUGUUUGGGCGGCUCUGAGAGGAAGCCCUGCACAUCCUUCAAU